UACGUAGGGUGCAAGCGUUGUCCGGAUUUAUUGGGCGUAAAGAGCUCGUAGGCGGUUUGUCACGUCGGGUGUGAAAAUUCGGGGCUUAACCCCGAACCUGCAUCCGAUACGGGUAGACUUGAGUGUGGUAGGGGAGACUGGAAUUCCUGGUGUAGCGGUGAAAUGCGCAGAUAUCAGGAGGAACACCGAUGGCGAAGGCAGGUCUCUGGGCCACAACUGACGCUGAGGAGCGAAAGCGUGGGGAGCAAACAGG
rnacentral:rRNA from 1 species